rnacentral:pre_miRNA from 1 species
AUGUGAUGUGACAUGCCCGUUUGGGUUUUAUUCUGAUAUUGAAUUAUUUAUUAUUUAAUUGAAUUUGGAAAACGGGGUGUUACAAUGCC